rnacentral:rRNA from 1 species
GACGAACCGUGCGAACGUUGUUCGGAAUCACUGGGCUUAAAGGGCGCGUAGGCGGGCAUUCAAGUCGGUGGUGAAAUCCUCCAGCUUAACUGGAGAAGAGCUGUCGAUACUGGAUGUCUCGAGGGGUGCAGGGGUCUGCGGAACUUCGGGUGGAGCGGUGAAAUGCGUAGAUAUCAGGAAGAACACCAAUGGCGAAAGCAGCUCUCUGGGACGGUACUGACGCUGAGACGCGAAAGCGUGGGGAGCGAACAGG